AAAUAAAUUUAUAAGUAAUAUAAAAUAUGCUGUAUAAAUUAAUAAUAUAGUAUUGAGAUAUUAUUGUAUGAACAAUAUAUAAUAACAUUUACUUCAUACUUUAAGGUUUGCAAAACAUUUUAUAUGUAAUAUCUCAUUUGAUUCUCUUAACAGCCCUGGAAAGUAGUUAUUAUUAUCCCGAUUUCAUAAGAGAAAACUGAAGUUGGAAAGAUUCAGAGAUUUGCUCAGGUUUAUUGAUAAGAAUCAGAGUCAAGAUGUGAACUGAGAGACUCCCUCAUUCCAGCACUCUAUCUACUGUGCCUUUUUGAUCCUCAUUCCAUAAGUUAGAAGAGCAGACAUUAUUUUCCAUUUAACAGAUGAGAAAACCAGAGGGUCAUGGACAUGAUUUAGCCUCCUCAAGGGCAUUUAUCUAGUAAGCAGUAGAUUUGUGAUGUAAAGCAGGGUCUUUUGUUUGUGGGCCCAAUACUAUGCCAUGCCAUUUCUCAAAUAAAGAAUAGUUCAAUCCAGGAAAGUAUAACACCCUCCCACCCCAUUUCUACAGCCUGUCCUUCCCUCUACAAAGUAAAGUGAUUGAUUGUUGCUUUUACCUCAUUCUUAGUCUGAGUCAAUUUAGUUAGUCCCUCCAAAAUUGUUUAUUUUGACCCACCACACUAUAUUUGUAGUUAAUAUUUUCAUUGGCCUAGGGAUUGAGGUCAUGUGUCAUUGUACAUAGAGCAAAUAGGAGAGAAAUUGAUGGGUCUAGUUCAGAAUGAGAGACUAUCACAGAUGUUUGAUGUCAGGGCAUUUAACUGAAAGAUAGAUGACAGCUAUUUGCAGGACACCAGAUGAAGUUCACCUGAAGCUGUUGCUCCAGAAAGAAAAAAAGACCAAAUCUGAAAUCUUUUCCAAGACCACAUUGAGAAGCCAGUUUGAGAUCCAGAAUCACACAGAGAUGAGGCAGAAUAUGUAAUGUAUGUUGUCUUACUCAUAUUUCAAGGUAAAAAAAAUGUUUCCAGAAAACUGUGUCAAAAUGUCUCUUUUAACUAUUACCUAAAUCCCUUUCAGGCAAAGUUAUUCUCUUUGAGAAAGAUAUUCAUCUGGCUGAUUGCAGUUUUAACCAAGGAGUCAACUCCUGAGGAAAUCAACAACAAACAAAAUAAACCAAAUCCAGUUUUGUAUCAUUUGCUAGCUUCCAAGGUAUAAAUGCUCACUCCAAGAACUUAACAACUGGUCCUUUUGAGCUGGUAUUAGCUUGCUCUAGCAUACCCUGGAUGCUAAUCAAUUAAUAAUACACUUUGGAAAGACACUGUGAGUGAUCUGGAUCUGGAAUUGAACAAGAGGAGUGUGAGUUGAAUUACCUUCAGGGAAAUACUCAAUGAUUCUCCUUGAAACAAAGGCCCAUCAUUUAAACAAUAUAUAUUCAUUCAAUGAGUCUGAAUGGUAUUCAGUUAUAGAAGACAACAAUUUCUAGAGGAUUAAAGUUCAAGGUCACCUAAAGUGUAAUGGAAAGGUUUAGAGUGAGUAACAAUACAACAUAUGGGCAGUCCAUGAAAAAAUAAUGUCAAUUAUUAAAUGCAAAUCAGGAUGACUAUCCUUAAGUUCAAACACAUUUUACUCUUUCUUGAUCUUAUAGAAUUUCUCUUCCAAAUGCCCCAGUAAUUCUUCAGGUCUUUCCCCCAACCCAAUUCCUGUCAGUCACUGAGUGAACUCAAACAGUAGUCAGUUUGGAGUCCUUUCUAUAUUGAUAUGUUGCAUGUUAUUUGUGUUUCGAAUUUAGUUUUAUAGGUCCUCAACCAUCAUCUUGAAC
ensembl:lncRNA